GCAGCAUUUAGGGGCGUCACAGACUUGGCUGCUGUGUUGCAUUUGUGUCACCGGGCGGCAGGGGGAGGAGAGGCUGUGUCUGCACUCAGGGUUCUGACCCGUGAAUGUUCGAAUGAUUGAUAGUCUGACGCU
rnacentral:snoRNA from 1 species